GACGAACCGUGCGAACGUUGUUCGGAAUCACUGGGCUUAAAGGGCGCGUAGGCGGGCUGCCAAGUCCGGGGUGAAAUCUUUCGGCUCAACCGGAAAAUAGCCCUGGAUACUGGCAGUCUGGAGGGAGGUAGGGGCAUGUGGAACUUCCGGUGGAGCGGUGAAAUGCGUAGAUAUCGGAAGGAACGCCGGUGGCGAAAGCGACGUGCUGGACCUCUUCUGACGCUGAGGCGCGAAAGCCAGGGGAGCAAACGGG
rnacentral:rRNA from 1 species